rnacentral:misc_RNA from 1 species
GAUGAAGAACGCAGCGAAAUGCGAUAAGUAAUGUGAAUUGCAGAAUUCAGUGAAUCAUCGAGUCUUUGAACGCACAUUGCGCGCCCUGGUAUUCCGGGGGGCAUGCCUGUCCGAGCGUCAUUGCCGCCCUCAAGCACGGCUUGUGUGUUGGGCCCCCGCCCCCCGGCUUCGGGGGGCGGGCCCGAAAGGCAGCGGCGGCACCGCGUCCGGUCCUCGAGCGUAUGGGGCUUCGUCACCCGCUCUGUAGGCCCGGCCGGCGCCCGCCGGCGACCCCAAUCAAUCUUUCCAGGUUGACCUCGGAUCAGGUAGGGAUACCCGCUGAACUUAAGCAUAUCAAUAAGCGGAGGA